GGGCCCGCACAAGCGGUGGAGUAUGUGGUUUAAUUCGAUGCAACGCGAAGAACCUUACCAGGGUUUGACAUCCUGCGAACCUCUUAGAAAUUUGAGGGUGCCUUCGGGAAUGCAGUGACAGGUGGUGCAUGGCUGUCGUCAGCUCGUGUCGUGAGAUGUUGGGUUAAGUCCCGCAACGAGCGCAACCCACGUUUUUAGUUGCCAGCAUUCAGUUGGGCACUCUGGGGAGACUGCCGGUGACAAGCCGGAGGAAGGCGGGGAUGACGUCAAGUCCUCAUGGCCCUUACGGGUUGGGCUACACACGUGCUACAAUGGUAACUACAGAGGGCAGCGACUUAGCGAUAAGGAGCCAAUCCCAAAAAGUUAUCUCAGUUCGGAUUGCACUCUGCAACUCGAGUGCAUGAAGUUGGAAUCGCUAGUAAUCG
rnacentral:rRNA from 1 species